UACGAAGGGGGCUAGCGUUGUUCGGAAUUACUGGGCGUAAAGCGCGCGCAGGCGGUCCUUCAAGUCAGAGGUGAAAGCCCAGAGCUCAACUCUGGAACGGCCUUUGAGACUAGAGGACUUGGGUACGGGAGAGGUGAGUGGAAUUCCGAGUGUAGAGGUGAAAUUCGUAGAUAUUAAGAGGAACACCGGUGGCGAAGGCGGCUAUCUGGCACACAACUGACGCUGAGGCGCGAAAGCGUGGGGAUCAAACAGG
rnacentral:rRNA from 1 species